rnacentral:rRNA from 1 species
GGAUUUUAUACGAGUGAGAAUGCCGGAAUGAGUAGCGAGAAUUAUGUGAGAAUCAUAAUGGCCGAAAAUCUAAGGUUUUAGGAGGAAGGUUCGUCCGCUCCUAGUAAGCCGGGAGCUAAGGUGAGGCGGAAACGCGUAGCCGAUGCACAUACGGUUGAAAUUCCGUAGCCUCCGAAGGAUUUAAACAAAGGGACACUUUGAAAGCGAUGUUGCCGGGCGUUGGUUGCCCCGGUCGUAAGGGACCGAAAUUAAGUAGGGAAGUCAUCGUGGACGAAGGCGAGAAAAGCUUUGUGAAUAUCCAAGGAGCCCGUACCGCAAACCGACACAGGUAGAUAGGAAGAAAAUUCUAAGGCCAACGGGAGAAGGGUAGUUAAGGAACUCGGCAAGUUGACCCCGUAACUUAGGGAUAAGGGGUGCUCUCGAAAGAGAGCCGCAGAGAAUAGGCCCAGGCGACUGUUUAGCAAAAACACAGCUCUAUGCUAAAUCGAAAGAUGAUGUAUAUGGGGUGACACCUGCCCGGUGCCGGAAGGUUAAGAGGAGGAGUGAGAGCUCUGAAUUGAAGCCCCGGUAAACGGCGGCCGUAACAAUAACGGUCCUAAGGUAGCGAAAUUCCUUGUCAGGUAAGUUCUGACCCGCACGAAUGGUGUAACGAUCUGGGCACUGUCUCAACUACCCGCCCGGCGAAAUUGUAGUACCGGUGAAGAUGCCGGUUACCCGCGACUAGACGGAAAGACCCCAUGGAGCUUUACUGUAGCUUAAUGUUGAAUUUCGGUAUUUCAUGUACAGGAUAGGUGGGAGACUAAGAAGCAGGGGCGUCAGCUUCUGUGGAGUCAACCUUGGGAUACCACUCUUGAAGUGCUGGAAUUCUAACCUGCGGCCGUGAAUCCGGUCGGGGGACAUCGUUAGGUGGGCAGUUUGACUGGGGCGGUCGCCUCCCAAAGAGUAACGGAGGCGCUCAAAGGUUCGCUCAGCAUGGACGGAAACCAUGCUCUUGAGUGUAAACGCAAAAGCGAGCCUAACUGCGAGACUGACGGGUCGAGCAGUAACGAAAGUUGGAGUUAGUGAUCCGGCGGUAUGUGAGUGGAAAUGCCGUCGCUCAACGGAUAAAAGCUACCCUGGGUAUAACAGGCUGAUCUCCCCCAAGAGUCCACAUCGACGGGGAGGUUUGGCACCUCGAUGUCGGCUCAUCGCAUCCUGGGGCUGUAUUCGGUCCCAAGGGUUUGGCUGUUCGCCACUUAAAG